CACGUAGGGCGCAAGCGUUGUCCGGAAUUAUUGGGCGUAAAGAGCUCGUAGGCGGCUCAGUAAGUCGGGUGUGAAAACUCCAGGCUCAACCUGGAGACGCCACCUGAUACUGCUGUGGCUAGAGUCCGGUAGGGGAGCAUGGAAUUCCUGGUGUAGCGGUGAAAUGCGCAGAUAUCAGGAGGAACACCAGUGGCGAAGGCGGUGCUCUGGGCCGGAACUGACGCUGAGGAGCGAAAGCGUGGGGAGCAAACAGG
rnacentral:rRNA from 1 species